rnacentral:rRNA from 1 species
AGAUAGACUUGAAUUAUUAGGAAGUAACUAGAAUAUGCUAAUGGAUUGACGCUGAUGGACGAAAGCGUGGGUAGCGAACAGGAUUACCUGGUAGUCCACGCCGUAAACGAUGGAUACUAGCUGUUGGAAGCAAUUUCAGUGGCUAAGCGUCCCACCUGGGGAGUACGUUCGCAAGAAUGAAACUCAAAGGAAUUACGGGGGCCCGCACAAGCGGAGCAUGUGGUUUAAUUCGAUGAUACGCGAGGAACCUUACCAAGGCUUAAAUGUAGAUUGACCGGUUUGGAAACAGAUCUUUCGCAAGACAAUUUACAAGGCUGCAUGGUUGUCGUCAGCUCGUGCCGUGAGGUGUCAGGUUAAGUCCUAUAACGAGCGCAACCCCUGUUGUUAGUUGCCAGCGAGUCAUGUCGGGAACUCUAUGCCGCAAACUGUGAGGAAGGUGGGGAUGACGUCAAAUCAUCACGGCCCUUACGCCUUGGGCUACACACGUGCUAAUGGCCGGUACAGAGAGCAGCCACUGGGCGACCAGGAGCGAAUCUAUAAAACCGGUCACAGUUCGGAUCGGAGGCAACUCGACUCCGUGAAGCUGGAAUCGCUAGUAAUCGGAUAUCAGCCAUGAUCCGGUGAAUACGUUCCCGGGUACACACCGCCCGUCAAGCCAUGGAAGCUGGGGGUGCCUGAAGUCGGUGACCGCAAAGUGAUAAGUA